GGAAGAACGUAGCGAAAUGCGAUAAGUAAUGUGAAUUGCAGAAUUCAGUGAAUCAUCGAAUCUUUGAACGCACAUUGCGCCCGCCAGUAUUCUGGCGGGCAUGCCUGUUCGAGCGUCAUUACAACCCUCAGGCCCCCGGGCCUGGCGUUGGGGAUCGGCGGAGCCCCCCGUGGGCACACGCCGUCCCCCAAAUGCAGUGGCGGUCCCGCCGCAGCUUCCAUCGCGUAGUAGCUAACACCUCGCGACUGGAGAGCGGCGCGGCCACGCCGUAAAACACCCAACUCUUCUGAAGUUGACCUCGAAUCAGGUAGGAAUACCCGCUGAACUUAAGCAUAUCAAUAAGCGGAGG
rnacentral:misc_RNA from 1 species